GGCGGACGGGUGAGUAACGCGUGGGUAACCUGCCUUAUACAGGGGGAUAACAGUUAGAAAUGACUGCUAAUACCGCAUAAGCGCACAGGAUUGCAUGAUCCGGUGUGAAAAACUCCGGUGGUAUAAGAUGGACCCGCGUCUGAUUAGCUUGUUGGUGAGGUAACGGCCCACCAGGCGACGAUCAGUAGCCGACCUGAGAGGGUGACCGGCCACAUUGGGACUGAGACACGGCCCAAACUCCUACGGGAGGCAGCAUG
rnacentral:rRNA from 1 species